AGAUUGAACGCUGGCGGCAGGCCUAACACAUGCAAGUCGAGCGGCAGCACGGGUACUUGUACCUGGUGGCGAGCGGCGGACGGGUGAGUAAUGCCUAGGAAUCUGCCUGGUAGUGGGGGAUAACGCUCGGAAACGGACGCUAAUACCGCAUACGUCCUACGGGAGAAAGCGAGGGGACCUUCGGGCCUUGCGCUAUCAGAUGAGCCUAGGUCGGAUUAGCUAGUUGGUGAGGUAAUGGCUCACCGAAGGCGA
rnacentral:rRNA from 1 species